rnacentral:lncRNA from 1 species
UAAAAAUAUUUUUUGUACUUCAUGGUAUUUAGAAACAUCAGAAUCCACUCAACAGGGUAAGUUCACACACAUCUAAUCAUAUAAAUGAUAGUUUAUACUGUGAAAGAUCAUAGAAUCCUAAGAAUGGGAAAUGACUUUUUGUGUUAAAAAUGUAAUCUUUUCUUUAAAAAAAAAAAAAAACCCAACAAAAAAACCAAACUAAUCCAGCCCUGUGUUAUAGUCAGAUGUCAAGAAGUUCUAGCACAAAAUAAACUCACUAGCAGAAUUUUAUUAAAGAGUAAAAAGUGCCUCAUUUUGUGUGGUAUCACCAACUUUGAGGAAACAGUGACUAGCAUUCAUUUUAUUCCAUAGUUCAUCUGUUCGUUUCCUUUCUAAGCAAUUCGAUUGCUUCAGAAGAACAAGGGUGGCACCUUCUCUCUUACUCAGGGUAUUGAGUGCACAUAUAGAUGACAUUAUGUUAGCCAUGCAUGAAAAGGCUGUACCAUCUGUGAAUAGGAUUAUUCAGUUUGAUGGCUGCUAAGAAGAUGGUGAAAGAUUACAGGAAGAAUUCUGAAUUUGAAGAUGUUAUUGGAUAUAUGAUUUAUUUCACUUUUAAGCUGAUUUUUGCCCAUGUGCUUUCUAAAGGGACUUGACCCUUUCUAGGCCUGGAGACUCCAUGCUGUGUUCAAAGCCUGGAGGCAGAAAAAAUUAGUAAAGACUGAGCAGGCAUUCUGUGAUGCUAAAUAGCACAUGAGAGCAAGUGUCAUAGGGACAUAUCUAAACACUUUUUUAAUCAAACAAACAAAAAAAAGUCUUAAAUAAGAAGCUGUAAUGAUUACUCUAGUUGCUAGAAGUUUCCACCAUGUUGUAAUAGCUCACAGGAUGUCAAACAUUUUGCCCUCUCAAGUUUUUGCAAUUUGCAAUUUUCAAACGUGAGACCUGUUGAAAGCCCAAGUGAUAAUGGACAAACUCUACCCCCUACAGUCUUUGUCCCACCAAAUCUUUCUUCAAUUAAUGCUGCAGCAGGAGUUUUAUGUAAUAACAUUUGCAGUUGUGAUCCAUCCAUAGAAAGAAAAAACAAUUAAAAUGCCUUAAAUGUUCUGCUUACUGCUGUUAUUUGCGUGUGUGAAUGUUGCAUGUCAGCUAAAUGGACCAAGGAAUAGAUAAAGGGAUUGGGGGCAGGAGAGUGUGCACUAAGCUUUGUCUAUCAUUAUUGCUGGGAGCAAUCAAAUUGAUGUCAGCAGGACAGUAGACGCGUUGACAGCUGUAAUUAUGUAUCUCCAUGGUGAUCACUUUUGGCCUGUCAUGGAGGCCCACAAGUCCCCUCCCUUCAACACAUUUAAUCAUAUUGGGCUGUCACUUGUCAGGUAGACACGGCGGGCUGGGAGCUGUGCCGAGGGGAGAGGUGAAUUGAUAAUGAAGGCUGGGAGCCGCCUUAUAGUUUCUAGGGUCCACUUUUUGGCUGACAAAGGCAAUUUUAAUUGUUCUGGAGGUAUGUGGAGGCUGACUUGAGCACCUCACACUUGGGAUGCAUGAGUGUUUUCAGUGUGGUCCUCUUUCUCCCUCACUAUAUUAAAGCUAGAUGUGUCAUUUUCACAGGGAAGCCAGCUUUGGAUCUUGGGUUUUUUUGGUCACAAGAAAGAGCAAAUAUUUCAGAGUUAACUUUUGAUUCACACCUUUCACGCACAUCAUUAAGGCUGAAACAUGCUUGUAGGGCAGAGAUGAGGCUGUUCCUUGUAGUCUUUGAUCUUCCAAGUUUGUGAAUUUAUUUUCAGAUCACACUGGUGUGUUAUGCUUAGAGUUCCAUUUGCCUUCAUUCUUGAAAUGGCCAGUGGCGUUAUGUAGGCUUUGUAUGCAUGGAGGAAUGGGCAAUUGAAUUUGUUUUUUAAUUGAUUGUUACUAGUAAGAUAUAUAGUUGGCUAUUACUUAGAAAAAUGUAUGUAAACUGGGAGUUAAAACUUGUUUUUUUUUUUUCUCUAUACAGUUUCUUUGGGAAUGUUGAUCUGCCUAUGUGUGCUCAUUGUAUAUGAUAUGUUUUGAUUUGACCCCAUGUGUUCAAGGUGACACAUUUUUGUCAUUAAUUU